UGUGUUAUCACUGUACCUAUAGAGAGGUGUGUUAUCACUGUACCUAUAGAGAGGUGUGUUACCACUGUACCUAUAGAGAGGUGUGUUAUCACUGUACCUAUAGAGAGGUGUGUUACCACUGUACCUAUAGAGAGGUGUGUUAUCACUGUACCUAUAGAGAGGUGUGUUACCACUGUACCUAUAGAGAGGUGUGUUACCACUGUACCUAUAGAGAGGUGUGUUACCACUGUACCUAUAGAGAGGUGUGUUAUCACUGUACCUAUAGAGAGGUGUGUUACCACUGUACCUAUAGAGA